CCCUUAGAUGUUCUGGGCCGCACGCGUGCUACACUGAGUGGAUCAGCGGGUCAGGUUGCGCGAAAGCGUUUCCUAAUCUUUAAAUCCGCUCGUGAUGGGGAUUGACGGUUGCAAUUUUCUGUCAUGAACGAGGAAUACCUUGUAAGCGCGGGUCAUCAUCCCGCGCUGAAUACGUCCCUGCCCUUUGUACACACCGCCCGUCGCUCCUACCGAUUGAGUGGUCCGGUGAGGCUUUGGGAUCUGAGCGGAAAGAGCGUUUCGCUGUUUCUGCUCGGAAAACUCAGUCGAACCUUAUCAUUUAGAGGAAGGAGAAGUCGUAAUA
rnacentral:rRNA from 1 species